GACGAACGCUGGCGGCGUGCUUAACACAUGCAAGUCGAACGGAAAGGCCCUGCUUUUGUGGGGUGCUCGAGUGGCGAACGGGUGAGUAACACGUGAGUAACCUGCCCUUGACUUUGGGAUAACUUCAGGAAACUGGGGCUAAUACCGGAUAGGAGCUCCUGCUGCAUGGUGGGGGUUGGAAAGUUUCGGCGGUUGGGGAUGGACUCGCGGCUUAUCAGCUUGUUGGUGGGGUAGUGGCUUACCAAGGCUUUGACGGGUAGCCGGCCUGAGAGGGUGACCGGCCACAUUGGGACUGAGAUACGGCCCAGACUCCUACGGGAGGCAGCAGUGGGGAAUAUUGCACAAUGGGCGGAAGCCUGAUGCAGCAACGCCGCGUGCGGGAUGACGGCCUUCGGGUUGUAAACCGCUUUCGCCUGUGACGAAGCGUGAGUGACGGUAAUGGGUAAAGAAGCACCGGCUAACUACGUGCCAGCAGCCGCGGUGAUACGUAGGGUGCGAGCGUUGUCCGGAUUUAUUGGGCGUAAAGGGCUCGUAGGUGGUUGAUCGCGUCGGAAGUGUAAUCUUGGGGCUUAACCCUGAGCGUGCUUUCGAUACGGGUUGACUUGAGGAAGGUAGGGGAGAAUGGAAUUCCUGGUGGAGCGGUGGAAUGCGCAGAUAUCAGGAGGAACACCAGUGGCGAAGGCGGUUCUCUGGGCCUUUCCAGACGCUGAGGAGCGAAAGCGUGGGGAGCGAACAGGCUUAGAUACCCUGGUAGUCCACGCUGUAAACGGUGGGUACUAGGUGUGGGGUCCAUUCCACGGGUUCCGUGCCGUAGCUAACGCUUUAAGUACCCCGCCUGGGGAGUACGGCCGCAAGGCUAAAGCUCAAAGGAAUUGACGGGGCCCCGCACAAGCGGCGGAGCAUGCGGAUUAAUUCGAUGCAACGCGUAGAACCUUACCUGGGUUUGACAUGGAUCGGGAGUGCUCAGAGAUGGGUGUGCCUCUUUUGGGGUCGGUUCACAGGUGGUGCAUGGCUGUCGUCAGCUCGUGUCGUGAGAUGUUGGGUUAAGUCCCGCAACGAGCGCAACCCUUGUUCACUGUUGCCAGCACGUUAUGGUGGGGACUCAGUGGAGACCGCCGGGGUCAACUCGGAGGAAGGUGGGGAUGACGUCAAGUCAUCAUGCCCCUUAUGUCCAGGGCUUCACGCAUGCUACAAUGGCUGGUACAGAGAGUGGCGAGCCUGUGAGGGUGAGCGAAUCUCGGAAAGCCGGUCUCAGUUCGGAUUGGGGUCUGCAACUCGACCUCAUGAAGUCGGAGUCGCUAGUAAUCGCAGAUCAGCAACGCUGCGGUGAAUACGUUCCCGGGGCU
rnacentral:rRNA from 1 species